rnacentral:rRNA from 1 species
UGGGGAACAUGACCUUCGGCGGGGGAUAGCCGGCCCAACGGCCGGGUAAUACUGCGUACGACCACAUGGGGACAUCCCUGAGUGGUGAAAGCAGCAAUGCGCCGAUGGAGUGCCUCGCGGCCUAUCAGCUAGUUGGUGAGGUAACGGCUCACCAAGGCGACGACGGGUANCUGGUCUGAGAGGAUGGCCAGCCANAGUUGGGACUGAGACACCGGCCCAGACCUCGUACGGGGAG